CUAUCGUGUUCGACUUGCCUCCAGGCGCCGGGAGUGGAGUUUUUGUAUUGGUUGAUUCGGCAUGGCAUGAGGUAAUGUGCCCUACCCAGCCAUCAGAAGCCUGCAUGGAACCAGCAAGACAAAGAGACUCAGAGAUCGGCUAGCCAUCCAUCAGCUCAUCCCGGAAAACAGAACCGGGUAACCCUUACAUCACCAGCAAGACUAAACAAAGACACCCCUACACAGCACUGCUUUAACCCUCCCACUGCUAAAUCAUACUGAAGGGUUAAUAUGGACUAAGUGCUGCUGUUAAUAUUAAAUAUACAGCUGUGUGAAUGGCACAGUGAAAUGUACUGGGUGUGUUCACAGCUUCUGAACUCUUUUUUAAAAUCAGGCAUAAGCACAUACAUACCACUGGUCUAGCACAUACCUG